UACGAAGGGGGCUAGCGUUGCUCGGAAUUACUGGGCGUAAAGCGCACGUAGGCGGCUUUCUAAGUCGGGGGUGAAAUCCUGGAGCUCAACUCCAGAACUGCCUUCGAUACUGGAAGCUCGAGUCCGGGAGAGGUGAGUGGAACUGCGAGUGUAGAGGUGAAAUUCGUAGAUAUUCGCAAGAACACCAGUGGGCGAAGGCGGCUCACUGGCCCGGUACUGACGCUGAGGUGCGAAAGCGUGGGGAGCAAACAGG
rnacentral:rRNA from 1 species